rnacentral:rRNA from 1 species
UGCCAGCAGCCCGCGGUAAUACAGAGGGUGCAAGCGUUAAUCGGAAUUACUGGGCGUAAAGGGUGUGUAGGUGGUUAUGUAAGUUAGAUGUGAAAUCCCCGGGCUUAACCUGGGAACUGCGUUUAAAACUGCGUAGCUAGAGUAUUGCAGAGGGUAGUGGAAUUUCCAGUGUAGCGGUGAAAUGCGUAGAUAUUGGAAGGAACACCAGUGGCGAAGGCGACUACCUGGGCAAAUACUGACACUGAGACACGAAAGCGUGGGGAGCAAACAGGAUUAGAUACCCUGGUAGUCC